UACGGAGGGGGCUAGCGUUGUUCGGAAUUACUGGGCGUAAAGCGCGCGUAGGCGGACCUGCAAGUCGGGGGUGAAAGCCCGAGGCUCAACCUCGGAACUGCCUUCGAUACUGCGGGUCUCGAGUCCGGGAGAGGUGAGUGGAAUUCCUAGUGUAGUAGGUGAAAUUCGUAGAUAUUUAGGAAGAACACCAGGUGGCGAAAGGCGGC
rnacentral:rRNA from 1 species